rnacentral:hammerhead_ribozyme from 1 species
AUCCAGCUGAAGUGUCCGGAAUACGAUGAAACACGCGUCCUGGAU